CCUAAUUCUUUAUUAAAAAGUGUUCUUGUUCGUUGUUGUUUUUUUACAUGAUAAAUAUUUAUCUUUGCAUCGGUGUAUCCACCUGCAUAUUGUCAUCCCGAGUUGUCUUUGAAUUAUUUUAUGUGAUGUAUUUGAUGUUUGUUAACCUUUUAAAAUAAUGUUUUCACUCUGUACAUUUUAGGUUUAACUGCACUUGUUGUAAACAUUGCCUAUAAUUUCAUGUAUGGUAGCAACAUACUUCAUUAUUGUUAUCUUUUGCAACAUGAGGCAUUUGUUAUUCUAACUGUCUAUUGUUUUCUUCUACAUGAACAAGCUGCAAAGGAAGCUUUAACAGCUGAAUUUUGCAGCUAGAGGUAUUGGCAUUGGAGACAUACAACAAGAUGUGUGAAAUCUUCAUAGUGUAAAAUAUAAUUUAGGUGUUCACUUCUGUUAGUUCUAUCCAACUGGUUGCAAUGUUGAAGAAGCUAAAUACAUAUUCUGUAUGGUAUGAUCUGUUGCGGUGAUGCCGUCACACCUUACUAUUUGAAAAUGAGAAGGGUCACGAUCUUUAGAUGGCUAGGUAUAUAUUGUCCAGAUUGUUUGCUUGGUUGUGGGAGAUACACAUGGAGUUCAUUCUUUGUGGGUUAGUUUAUAUCUUUCUUGCAAAUUUCAUAUUGUGCUUAAGGAUGAGCAUUGAUAAUCUAUACCCUAUAGAUUGCAGGUAUACGAAGAAGGAACCAUAGGAAAAAAUUAGUACUUCUAUUUAUAUUUAAAUAUGAACUGAAGAAUCUCUAUCAAGUAUGAUGUGUUCAGUUAUGUGGCAUUGCUUCAGGAGAUCAGUCCAUGGGAUAGCAAUUGCAGGGCAACUCGCUACCGCUUCCUAGAAGCAUUGCCCACUUCAUCUCUUUUCGUAUCCCAGUUAAAGUAAGCCCACUCAGGUUAUUGAUAGGGAAGAAGCAAUACACAAACAUCUAUCUUUUCAGUUCAGAUGGAGCCGCAGGAACACUACACAAUGGAUGAUUGUCCAGUUAUGGUGGAUUUCUUUAAAUCAAGGAAGUUGUAGAUGGCUUCUAAAAUUUAAGAUGCAGAUCGAUGUUGGGUUUGCCUAAACCAAGGUUAGUGAUGUCAUGGCUUUAAUUUCAGCUCUGGAAUAUGUUUUAGUGUAGUGAUGGCUAAGCGGUUCUAUCAUUUUUUUAGACAAAGAACAUGCAAAAAACGUUUCUCAUAUUUUCGUUCUUAUGAGUACAUGAGUACAUGCCAAAGCACCUACAGUUCACUCAGCUGAGGAAGCUUGAUGGACUUCCUAUCUGUUGCACGAUUUAUGGUUUCUCAGUUUUGAACACAAUAAUUUGUCUUUGUUCUUGCAUGCAAGAUUUUUUGUUCGAAUACAACAACUUGUGCAUGCUAAAAAACAUCAUGGGGAUGGUUCAGGACAUCAGGUGUUAUGUUCAGAUUUUUGAAGCAACCUUGGAAUUUCUAAUUAAAAUAAACCAAUGAGUUGUUAUCGUCAUCUCUGAGCAGGAUGGCAUUCUUACUAUCAUGUAAAUAUUUAGAACAUUGAACUUCACAAUUUCACCUUUUUUCUAGGGGACAUAAUCAUACAUUACUAUAUUGUUCGAUGAAUAAAUCCUUAUUGACUCGACUUCUGCGGAAUUUUGUAACAUAAAUGUCAAUACUACAUAGCAAGACAUUGCAAUAGUUGGACUGUUAUUGGCAACUCAUGUUUAUAUGGAUUAGAAGGUUACACUAAUUUAUGAUGCAUCGAGUAGAGUAUAACAUUGCUAGCUUGAAAUAAUAAAUAUUGGACUGUUCAAGUGUUCGGGUGGAAGUUCAAGUGCUUUUGUUCCCUUCAUCCUUUGGGAAAUGAUUAAUUGGCUAAUAGUGGGAACAUCAAUGAAGGAGUCGCAAUCAUGAUGGUCCAUCCAUUCCAUUUUGUAAUGCAUGUUUUAGUCUAUUUCGUGAAAUAAGGAUAUUAGAAGGAAGUGACCAUGGUAGCCAAUGGUAUUAUUAUCUUGAGAAUAUGAGUGAGAGAGAGAACAGUGAUGAUGUAUGUUUAGUCAUAAAUAAUGGAAAUAAAUAAAUUAGUAAAAAAGAGAGAAGAGUCGUCAUUUCUACAUGCAAGUAUCAUAUUCUAAAAGAUUGUCAAAUAUAGGACUUAUAUUUUAAAAUGGAUGGAGGGAGUAGCAUUUAACUGUCACACAACUCAGCUAUGUUCAGAUGGCAGAUGCAAGUGUCCGCUUCUUGAUGUGAUUGUAUAUGCUGAUGCGUUCCUAGAUGUCAUGCCUUCUACCUUGACCCUUUUGUGGGAAGUACUCGAUCAGGGAGCUGAGCUCUAGGCGUGUGCAUAUAGCAGCGGCAAGUGUUGAGGGCUCAAACUACCAUCCGCAGCUUCUGCAAAUAUGGAAGCAACUCACUUAGCAUAGGUGUCUGCAUAUAGCAGCAUCAAUUGUUGAGUGCUCAAACCACGAUCCGCAGCUGCUGCAAAUAUGUAUGCAACUCAUUUAGCAUAGAUCAUAUCAUUAUGUUUUUGCUAUUGCCAGCUGAUUCUAUGUGGUGCCAUGGCCAGAAGUUUCUUUUAUGUAUUUGUACUGCUCUGUGCAAGUGUAAUGAAUGUGUUGAAGGCUAUCUUUUGUUUCAAUGUCUAUACAUCUUCUAAUUGCCGUAA